UAAAUAUUCUAAUAUUUAACUGCAGGCCCUUGACACAUUCAACACAGCAGUUGUAUCGCCUAUAUACUAUGUGAUGUUUACGUCCUGCGGUCUAUGUGAAGGUAACACCUGAGGAUGUUCAUAAGUUCAACUUGCCCCCAGAAUGUGUCAAUAAAACUCCAUCUGGUGAAACUUUUGUUAAACCAAAUUUACAGAAGGGCAUACUUCCAGAAAUUCUCGAAGAAUUAUUGGCUGCUCGUAAAAGGGCUAAAGCAGAUCUUAAGGAAGCAAAGGAUCCAUUUGAGAAGGCUGUACUGAAUGGUCGUCAGCUGGCUCUGAAAAUAAGUGCGAACUCAGUGUAUGGAUUUACUGGAGCUACAGUGGGACAGCUACCUUGUUUGGAGAUAUCUUCCAGUGUGACAAGCUAUGGGGCCUAUUGUUACCACAAUCCGAGCUUUACUGAUACCUCAUCCAAUGAAGGAACUUCGAGUAAAGUGGUAUGCCAGAGUGUAAGCUUGGACUGAAUGACAGAGUCCUUUUGGAGGCUCAAGGUCGAACAACAAAGGGAAAAGCCAUUGAUCUGGAUGAUAUCAAGUUUCAUCAGUGUGUGUGUUUGGCCCGUUUUGAAAAUGACAGGACAAUAUCCUUCAUUCCGCCCGAUGGAUCCUUGAUUUGAUGACCUACAGACUCAGUACUCAGGUCAAACCUUUGAUCUAGGUCGAAGCUCAAGUUGAAAGGCAUUCGAGAAGUCAUAUAGAGAUCAUGGUAAAGGCGAGGAGUCAGUUCAAGGAGCGCAGCACAGCUACAAAUGUGGAGAUUGAGCUACCUGUACCUGCAGAUGCAACAACCCCCAAUAUAAGGACUUCCAUGGGUUCUGCAGCAUAACCUGAAAAUGAUGCGUUGCACUGGAAAAUAAAAUCUUUUCGUGGUGGCAAGGUGUGAAGGAGCUUGAGGCAAAAUGGAUUGGAUGGGCUGGUCUAUAUGUACCGGAUGAAAUUGGGCAGCAAUCACUUACCAAAGCACUAGCAGAAAAGAAAUGCGUUCCGAUCUUCCUUGGUAAGGAGACAGUUAAUCUGUACUAUGACGGCUAUUGUAACCAUAUCUUGUGGCAUCUUUUCAAUUACCUUGGGCUUCCACAUGAAGAUUGUAGGCCUGCAACGACCCACAGUCUCCAGCCUCAGUUUGAUUCAUAUAAAAAGGCAAACCAAAUGUUUGCUGAUAUGGUGGCCAGGCAUUAUGAAGAUGGGGAUGUUGUUUGGUGCCAUGAUUACCAUCUCAUGUUUCUUCCAAAAUUCCUGAAGGAGUAUAACAGCAAAAUGAAAUUGGAUGGUUCCUCCACACGCCCUUUCCAUCUUCUGAGGUCCACAGGACGCUGCUGUCUUGGUCAGAGUUGCUGAUUUCAGUUCUUGCAGCUGAUUUGGGAAUGGUGGAUUGGGUGAAGAGGCUUGCGAAAAAUCCCUGUGAUCCUGGUUUCGGGAUGGCAACGGAACAACCUAGGUGGAGGGUGCAUAGAAUUGCAGGGCACUGGGAACGGGUGCUUCUAGCCCGAGCGGUGUUACUGCAAAGAAGGCAUGUCUGUUUGAGUGCUGAGGGGUCUCUCUUGCAGGGACUGGCACUACUGCAGAUAUGAUCGGGCAAAACUGAUAGAGAAAAUCGCUAUGUUUGGAAGGAAGAUUUGUUAGUAUUUUCUCUUCAACAUCAUUUUAGCAUGACUAAACAAUUGUCUUGGAAGAUUUGUUAAUACUUCGAACACUGAUUAAACGUGAGUUGCAAUCAACUUCAGGGCGAAUUGGGUGGCCAAUUUGGUGGACAACUAACUGGUCUCUCGACAUUGUACACUGUAGAAGCCCUGGAGAUGCUGUUGUUGCCCAUGGCAAAAGAUGGUACUGAGGCUCUUGGCUCAAUGGGAAAUGAUGCUCCUUUGGCUGUGAUGUCCAACAGAGAUAAACUUACAUUUGAGUAUUUCAAGUAGAUGUUUGCUCAGGUUACAAACCCACUGAUUGAUCCGAUCCGAGAGAAAAUAGUCGUGUGGAAGGGGACCUUACUGAAACAGUUCAUGUGGAAGGCUAUGUAGCAGUUUGUUUGUUUUGAAAACUCUAAAUACACCAGUAAUUGUUUUGUUGAUUGUUGUCUUGAUGGAUGUUAAAUGGGUGAAACAUGCACAGGUUCAAUCAUUGGUUGAUUAUAAUAUUGUUAGCUUUUGUUGAUAGAAA